CAGGUUGGCAUCAAUCAAAUUGGAAGCACAUGAAUUAUACAUUAUUGUUUCUGAGCCACAGUUUUUUGUUUUUAUCUGCUAAAGACAUGAAGAAUGGGAACACUACCAUUGCAUCUCCCAGCCCCAGAGAAGGAUGUUCACUCCCAUGUUCUCACCUUUUCUUCAUCUUUAUUUGAUGGCUAUAACUUUGUCAUUCAUAUUUUUUAAAAAUCGUGGGUGGAUGUUUUGGAUUUUUUUAAGAUAUACAGUAAAUACCAACUUCUUAAAUUUUCCCUCGCUGCUUCCAGAGGAGGCUGGUAUAUUUUUUCUCUGUUCAACAACGAGAGAAGUAUCAAGUUUUAGUUAUCUUCUACAGCACAUCUUUUGAGUAAAGACAUGCAAGUAGUACUGAAACGACUGCAAUGUGAUAAUCACGGAGACUGGACUGGUUCAACAUCCAGAUGUUUCGAUUUUUUUGAUAAAUCAAUCUCCAAGGUUCAGCUCAUUCACAGUGUGAGGCUACUUACCUGUUCAAAGUACAUCACUUUUGUCCUCCAGUUUUCAUAUUGGCUUCCUGUCAAGGUUUGCAUUGAUUUUAAAGUUUUAUUGUUGACGUUUAAAGCACUUAAUGGCCUGAUACCUUCUUACAUUAAUGAUU
rnacentral:lncRNA from 1 species